GAUGAAGAACGUAGCGAAAUGCGAUAAGUAAUGUGAAUUGCAGAAUUCAGUGAAUCAUCGAAUCUUUGAACGCACAUUGCGCCCCCUGGUAUUCCGGGGGGCAUGCCUGUUCGAGCGUCAUUACAACCCUCAAGCUCUGCUUGGUGUUGGGCCCCGCCGCCCCGGCGGGCCCUAAAAUCAGUGGCGGUGCCGUCCGGCUCCGAGCGUAGUAAUUCUUCUCGCUCUGGAGGUCCGGGUGUGUGCUCGCCAGCAACCCCCAAUUUUUUUCAGGUUGACCUCGAAUCAGGUAGGGAUACCCGCUGAACUUAAGCAUAUCAAUAAGCGGAGGA
rnacentral:misc_RNA from 1 species